rnacentral:lncRNA from 1 species
GUCGAUUCAUGCUGAUUAGGUGUUUGAUGCUAUGCCAUCCAUAUGGUGGUCUGGGAUUUUCGUUUUUUUUGUCAGAAAUCGCACGAGUGAGAUCAUUCUCGACUUUGAUUCGGCGUUCGGUGUACUGAGUGGAUCGUCUCUGCAGUUCAGGUACUGUUUGGGAUCUCUUUGAGCUAGGUCCAGUUACUUUUGAUUGGUCUCGGUUUGUUAUUCUCGCUAUUAUUGUGGUUGCACUCUUUUGUGAUGUGGUUGUAUAUCACGAGUCUUUCUCCAUCAACACAUCGGCUAUCUCGGCAUGUUCUUACUUUUCUAUCCUUUAGUUAAUAGCCCACAUUUCAUACAUGUACCCUCUGAUGCACUACUUUACUUUCAGAAGACAUAUGGUAGCGGCGGAUGUGACAUUUUUUUAGAAAGUUUUAGAAUCUUUGAAUUCUGCGGCCACCCCCCUUAAUUUCUGCACCAUAGGAUAGAGUACAACGAGUCCUCACAGAUUCAAUUUUCUGUUCACUAACAAAGAUAGAGAGAUUAAGCUAAGUUAUUCAAACCCCAGAUGAUCUAAGUCGCCUACUUUCUCUUACCACACGAUUACAUUUCUUCAAACUAUGUUGCUUUUUAAUCAUCAGGGUUUUUAUAUUUUUUCAGUUCUUCCAGCAGAAAGUAAUCUGAUUUGUCAACUAAUUAUAAACAACAUCAUGUUAACGUGAAUUUUGGUUCACCUUCACUCAUUCUAUCACCAUAAAAUAUUUUACAUGCAAAUUGUCUUUGUCCUUUGUCAUGGGCGGGUUUGGGAAUGACAUUUAUCACCAUAAAAUAUUUUACAUGCAAAUUGUCUUUGUCCUUAGUCAUGGGCGGGUUUGAUUGAGGUGCACUCGUGUAGAGCAUUUUAAGUCAUCAAGUACUUUGGUGUCCUAUUUUUUUGCAAUAUAGAAUGUGUCAUGAUGCAUUUUCUUCUGCAAUCUUAUUUAGAUGAGCAACAUCAUCUCUAUAACUGAAUACAAUAACGAAGCUGCAUUUGUUUUCAUGGAUGGCUCUUCUCUCAUCAGGCGGCACCAAAUUGGUAGGGCUUCCCCUCAUACUUUCAAUGCUUCUCAUUCAGUGCAUUGUUGUUGUGUGCUUGAACACUCUUCUUUUACUUGCAUCUUCUUUUCCAUUUAACUUGACCGAGCAUUUUAGUCUAGCAAUGUGCCCGUGUCAAUUCUUCAUAUGGUUAUCGCAUCAGCAUGAUACAAAAUGAGAGCACUCUCAUUUUCAUUCGCUGCACUCCAUCUGCAUCUGUCAUGUUACAAUUAAAUUCACCCAGUGCACCAAGAAACCUUCUGUAUAUCUUUUCAGUAUCUACAAUCUUUCUUCAUUGGCGGCUAGAUAGUUUCAUGGUUAUGUUCUUCUGUAAUUAUCUUUUCGGGUCAAUUCACACAUGAUAUAGCUAAUAUGCUGUAUGGCAAAUUAAUUUAGCCCUCUUUUGGUGGCCAACUACUGUUAUGUCGUUAGUGGCUAGAACAAGGCACAUACUAUUUUUCCCCUUUCGAUUGGGUGAUAUACCCCACAACUGUAAAGAAAUGAACUUGUAGUGUUGUAUGAUGAAUUAAUUUAGCUCUUUUUCGGUGGCCAACUGCUAACAUCUUAUUAGUAGCUAGAACAAGGCACAUACUGUUUUUUUUUCUUUCGAUUGGGUGAUAUACCCCAUAGCUGUAAAUAAUGAAGUUGUGGUGUAAUGAUAUAUCAUCUUAUUGCUGCAUCUUUUGCCUUGCGGUCGUGAGUACUUGUGGUGAGCUAAUGUUUAUUUUCUGAUUCUACUGAUUCUUGUUAACAGGGUUGUCUGACAUGCUUUGCAAUGUUAGUGCUUGUCUGAAGCUUUUCGAGAAGCAUUUGUGUGUUCUCAUGCUCAGGAGUUACAAGGAGCAAUGGUGCUAUGGUCUUGAACUUCCACUGAUCUUCUACCGAAGAAUGAUCCUUAGCUUAGUUACUUAGUUUGAUGUCUUUUUUCGAGGAUAGGUUUGGAGUUGCAUCCGCUUUUGUCUAGGUUGGUACUUCGACCAGAAUUCACAUGACACUAUAUGCCAAGAUUAGUUCUUGUACUUCCUCUAAUGCAUGACUGAAUGGAAACGAUUGAUUUAUUUUUCUUAUAAUAUGUGAACCAUGUACUGCAUCAACACUCAAUGUAGAUCGUGCUUUCAAUUGGCUGAGCACAAGAACAGUUGACAUAUUGUGUAUCACCAAUAGCAUAUUCAUGUGCUAACCAAAACAAGAUUUUUUUUGGUG